AAACAAUGCACAUCACUACCGGGUCUUGGGCAGUGCGAUAGCGAUGGGAUUCACCUUCGCAGGAUGUGCAUGGAAGUAUAAACACAACGGUCGUU
rnacentral:SRP_RNA from 15 species